AUCUGCUGGCAUCAUUAUUCAAAGUUUCCACUUUUCUUCCUCUGUGUGUCUUUCCCGCUUGCUCUUGCCUGGCACCAUUACAAAAUCUUGCCUGGAAAAAUCACAUGAUUUCCUAUGAGAAAGCCACAGCAUUCCCAGAGGAAGCGCAACAGCACCUCACUACUUGUUCCACACAACCUGGGUGAUGAUGCCAAACAGUUUAACAGCUCAGAUUUUAUCAACGCAUGUAAAGUAUCUCAAUAUUAAUUGGCACAAAUCAUUUCCCACUUCUGUCAAGUGGGACACAAUCAACUUUAACAAUGGCUUCUCAUUGAGGAACGACACCGUUGCACCGCAUCGUCCCAACCAAACGAUUUUCCAAAGAUUCUGCUCCUGAACAACGUCUCAUUAUCAAAGCAAUCUUCCCACAAUGGAGCAAGAAUAAAGGAAAUUACUUGAUUUCAUGUAAGACUGUGGAAAAAUGACUGCGGAUCCAAGGCUUUAAUUAGGCAAUUAGACACAAUUAGGACGUACCAGUCAAUGUGCUAAACUCAUAAGUGGCCCUGAAGUCGGCUCGGAUGCCUUUACUAUCUGCUCAACACUAGUAAAACAGCUCUUGUUGCACCAUAGCUUUAAAGGCAGGUAAAAGGCCAUUGGCUUGUAAUCAUCUUGCUAAACACCAUCCAAGUUCAUCUUGGACACAUACUCUUUAACAUAUCCAUCCAAGGUUAUGGAAUACCUUAUGCUGCAGAUGUUACAGGAACACUGGCAUCCAUUCACUUUGAAAUUAGAAAUAAAUCCAAACACAGUCACACUGAUUUGUUUGAAGCCUUUUAUACAUCUUUGUAUGUGAGUAAGGAAUUUUCUAUGUUGUUCUUGAAUGAAAUACAGCCCUAAUCAUGUUUUUAUUGUAAGUAUGUUUCGCAGAAGAUGACUACACACGUUCUAGCCCAGGUUUUAAUCAACCCUGUCUACACUAACUAUAAGGCUUUUAAAGACAUCACUCUAAAUAUGCACUUCUCUGACUCUAUGUAUAUUCCUGCGGUUGAUCACGGCAUAUCAGGGCGUUUAAAAUGACAACGUUAAGCACGUUAGCUUUGUUGACGCUCGAUAUGCAAAGAAAUGCACUUCGCUCGGUUCUAUUUACGGGGACAAAAAGGGUUAAGUGUCAAAGCAGGAGAUCAGUAACAGAGCCCUCCAAACAUCUGGUAACGCACAUGUCGGGCUGGCCCUCCCACAAAUUUCAUCAAAUUAUAUUUUCUGCAAAAUGUGCUUGAAUUGCAGGAAAAAGUUUGUUAAAAAUAUGCAUUUAAAUAAACACUGCAGAUGGAAAUAUUAACUAUAUGUUUAAAAAGUCACAAACAUUAUAUAUGUUUAAAAGGCUACAUGAUCUGAAUCAAUGAGAUAAAUAAAUUUUUCUUUAUUAGAAACAGA